GACGAACGCUGGCGGCGUGCCUAACACAUGCAAGUCGAACGAGAAUCAAUGGAUUGAGACUUCGGUUGAUUGAAGUUGAGGAAAGUGGCGAACGGGUGAGUAACGCGUGAGAAACCUGCCUUUCAGUGGGGGACAACAGUUGGAAACGACUGCUAAUACCGCAUAAUGUAUCGAGGGGGCAUCCUCUUGAUACCAAAGCUUAAUGUGCUGAAAGAUGGUCUCGCGUCUGAUUAGCUAGUUGGCGGGGUAACGGCCCACCAAGGCGACGAUCAGUAGCCGGUCUGAGAGGAUGAACGGCCACAUUGGGACUGAGAUACGGCCCAGACUCCUACGGGAGGCAGCAGUGGGGAAUAUUGGUCAAUGGAGGCAACUCUGAACCAGCCAAGUAGCGUGAGGGAUGACUGCCCUACGGGUUGUAAACCUCUUUGUCGGGAAUAAACCGCGCCACGCGU
rnacentral:rRNA from 1 species